rnacentral:rRNA from 1 species
AUGGAGAAGAAGAGGACGAUUACUGGACAGCCAAGUUCGUCAUCUAAUGCAGUGAACCACCAGAGCUGGCUGGCCUUAUGGGGUACAAACGCACCAGGGAAGGUGUUAAUUCAUGUCUGGCGGCUGAUCAAGAACGGCUUGGCGGUGGGCUCUGAACUGCUGCGAAGAAAGAUCAAGCCUGGUGUUUUUUGCCCUGCUUGUGGACGUGAAGAAACGGUGUAUCACAGAUUCUGGGGAUGCCAUCAUUCUAUGUUGUUUUGGAAGGAACUGAGCUCGGUAUUGGGUGCGAGGGUGGCGAUCCCACCUCGUUCGAUGAGCACCCAGAGCUUAGUUGCAUCAUGGUUGCUUAACUGGCUAUCAGACGCCUCGGAGGAUGAUAGGGCAGCAAUGGUGCAGGGAUUAUAUGCCAUAUGGUUGGCGAGGAAUGAAACGAGGGAAGGGAAGCGAAUUGAGGAGGCCAACUUGGUGGCUAGGAGAGUUGCUGCACUCAUGGAGGAGUGGAAGAACGCGAAGGGGAGGCCACAUCGAUCGAGCCCAUCUACGCAACGGGCAACCUGGGAACCACCGGCGGCGGGCUGGUUAAAGGCCAACGUGGAUGGUGCAAUGGCUCGGUCAAGUCAGGGAGGAGGGUGUGGCGUGGUGUUCAGAGAUGAGGUGGGAGCUUUCCGAAGAGCUGAUGCGGUGUUUCUUCCUGGGGUCACAUCUGCCGAAGCAGCUGAGUUGCAAGCGUGCAAGCGAGCGGUGGUUUUAGCUAUGCAACGGGCUGUGCCUAAGCUCCAUCUGGAGACCGACUGCCAGAACGUGGCUAGAAUGUUGAAGAGCAAGAGCACAACCUGUCAUCGGUGGGAAUCAUGGUGA